rnacentral:lncRNA from 1 species
UGGGAGAAAAUGUUUUGUACAGAUAUAAAUGGCAAAGAACUAGGAUUGAGACAUAUAAAGAAGACAGUCCAAUCAUGGAGGAAUAGCAGCAAAACUCUUGGGGACACAAUAGAGCACAUGGACAUGGAAGCAAAUUCAAAUGUCUUUAAAUCAUGUAUGUAGUGUUCAGUCUCAUUAGUCAUAAGAGAAGCAAAAAUUAAAACCACACACACCAAUGGCUGCCAAAGAUGUUACAGUCUCACAAUGUUAAAUGUUAGUGAUCUCCCUGAAUUUUGUGUCCUGUUCUUUAAAAUAGAGCCGAUGCCCAGAUGCCCAGAUGCCCAGAUGCCCAGAUUGGAUGUGAGCACAAAACUGGAGGAUGUUUGUGAAUAUAGCUUAUCAGUGCUGCAAAACAAAGCAGAUGUUUACUGAUGACAAAGUCAGCAUUGUCUAGUCAAGUGCACAUAAGGAUUGAUCCAGAAGCAUUUUCAAGGCACUCAGUACCAGUUCUCAACAGGAAUACCUUCUCAUUCUUUACUUCUCAUCCUGUGUUCUGCACUAGGAUCCAUAAAGUUGCAGAUAAGAGGCAUCCUCUUGACCUUAGACCUGAUUGCUCUUGAGGAAAUGAUAAUGUGAACCAUUUCACAGGCACAUGGUAUUCCUUCAAAGAAGCCUUUGGUGUUUUGAUGUGAACAAAGAUGCUGAUAUUGCCUAGUUGGUGAUGUUGAAGGAAUUGAAGGGGAAAGACUGAAAAGCCUCACAACUUCAGGACAAACAGAAUUAGAAUAAGUUCUGUCCAAAGCUCUGAUGUGUGUAUGUGGCUUCCCUCAGUGUGACAGUCUACUUCCUGUUGCUUGCUAUAAAGAGGUAAGGACUCUCAACUCCAGCACCAUGUCUGCCUCCAUGCCACCAUGUUCUCCUCCAUGCUGAUAGUGGACUGAACCUCUGAAACUUUGCUGUGUUUAAAGCAAUUGCUGCGGAGUAAACACUGAAGACUACUGAGAGUCACUCUCAGAUGAGCCAAGCUGCAAGAAAGACUCUCAAAGGAGUUCAACUGCCUGGAAGAAACCAGCCAAGCAACCUGAAAGCAGCAGAAAUGAGCCUGGCUGCCUGGAUGAGCUUUAGACCAACUGAGGCACAUGGAAGGGACACUCUCCAACCCAUUGAGCUGCCUGCAGGCUGUUCAGUAUGCUCCAGAUUCCCAGCUUUUGUGAGCUGUCACCCAUGCUGUGGUGGGCUUUGGUGAGGCAGCUGCUACUGUAUGUAAACCCCCACCCAUAUUCAUGUAAGUAACCCCAAUAAAACUCACAAAUUCACUAAGUUGGAC